AAAGAGGGGAAAGAAGAGAGAAAAGGGAAAAGUCGAGUGCAGAUUCUUGGGAGUUGGGAGAGGAGAGAAGAAAGAGAAUGAAAUUAAUUAUUUAUUUUAUAAAUUUAAAGUAGUUUUUUGAGAAAACCAUUAUUACCCAUGGUUUGGGGCAUUAAUGAGAUGUGACCUUUGACCAUUAUUAUUUCCCAUCAUCCCAUGCAUAUAC
rnacentral:misc_RNA from 1 species